rnacentral:lncRNA from 1 species
ACUUCCUUUCCGUAUCAACAGGAGGCCAGGGACUGGCUGGACCCCUAGGAGCCAGGUCCUACGGAUAGGUGAGCCGGCCCCCCAGGGCAAACACCUCCACUGGGCAGACCUGACUGCCCAGAGCUGGAUUCUUUACUUGUAAAAGGGGCCAUGAGUGACACAGGCUCGGCCUGCUGUGCCUUGAGGAAAGGAGAGGCUAAAAAUUCUGCCUUCUCUCCUAAAGCCAGCCGGGCUCUUUAUGGUGGGGGAAGGAAGGAUUUGUUUAUUUGCACUCUUCUGAAAUAAAAGUUCUCUAUCCUCCCUCCUGGCUGGAGUUGGGAGGGCCCCAUGGGUGGGCUCUGAGAUGUGGCACACGGUACCCAGGGCAGGGCUGGGAAGGGUGGGGUGCAGGGGCCUCCCUGGCUGCAGGGCCCACCCACCAGGUGCCUGGGCUUGCUGCACUGAGCAGGCAUGGGCUCUGGCCCCCCUCACUGUCCCUUCCAGGCCCAGCCUGUGUUCAGGGCCCAGGACAGGGUCUGGCCAGCAGGCCCCAGGCCUCCAAGAUGUUCUCAGCCUCUGGAGUGUGUGUGAUGAUGAGCACUCAUGGAGCUUCCUGUAUGCUGGGCCCUGGGCUUCUGAGAGGGCCACCGGGUGGCGACUGAGUCACGAGGUGGAGGGCCAGUCCCAGGGACUCCAGGUGACCUCGUGUCGGCACCACGCCCUUCUCCCAUGGGCAGUCCUGGGCGCCCCUUCCUGGCCUUGGGCCCAGUGGCCUGUGGCCUGACCCCGUCCACUCCUGCUUGGUUGU